UUCACUCAGGUUUUGAAUCGAUAAGACUACAUAACCCAGGCUACAAUAUUAAAAUUACGAUUGGCUAACGUGGUUGUCAAGGAUACCGGAAGCCCAGCGAGCCGGCUGUCUGGAUGUGUGACGUCAUCAUUCAUCGAUAGACUGCUUUCACAGCAAUAAUGACUUCCCUGAGCCCAAUGGAGCUGGAUAUGGAGUUUAGAAGAAAGAGGAGCCACAUACCGGGACAUGUUAAACAUUUUAAGGCCGCUUUUGUAUCACCCAGAUGAAGAGAUAAGAGGGCUUGAGCUGGGACCCCUCGGCUGACAGUGAUGGAUCAUUGGUUAGCACUCCCCGUGUGUGCUGUGAAUGAACAGGGAUCGACCUAUGUAGUACCGAAGUCUUCCAAGCAGCCUCAGGUAACCUGUGCUGCCAGCCUCUGCAGACUGCUCAGAGACUUCUGUCAGCAUUGAUUUCCCUGAUGAGGAUGAGGACUAUGAUCCUGCCAAGGUGCAAGACUGGGAUUCCUUGAAUCCCGAAGCUGAAGCCGACAGAAGAGAAACGGUGUGAAGAUGAAACAGCUGACAGAAGUAUCGGCACACCAGAAGUAGUGAUCACACAGGCAGAUGAGGUGGGUGAUAGACCCAACCUGAUGUAAAAUUCCUUCUCAUCUAGGCUGAUUUGUAUUCAUAAAUUUCAGCUGAUAUACACUACACUUGUACCCCUUUGUUUUCUCUCUUCGCGUGUGGACCCUUUUUUCCUAAAACAUUU